UGGGGAAUAUUGGGCAAUGGGCGAAAGCCUGACCCAGCGACGCCGCGUGCGGGAAGACGGUCUUCGGAUUGUAAACCGCUUUCAGCAGGGAAGAAGCAAGUGACGGUACCUGCAGAAGAAGUCACGGCUAACUACGUGCCAGCAGCCGCGGUAAUACGUAGGUGGCGAGCGUUAUCCGGAAUUACCGGGUGUAAAGGGUGUGUAGGCGGGGAAGCAAGUCAGAGGUGAAAUUUAUGGGCUCAACCCAUAACCUGCCUUUGAAACUGUUUUUCUUGAGAGUGGGAGAGGUAAACGGAAUUCCUGGUGUAGUAGUGAAAUGCGUAGAUAUCAGGAGGAACACCGGUGGCGAAGGCGGUUUACUGGACCAUUACUGACGCUGAGACACGAAAGCGUGGGGAGCAAACAGG
rnacentral:rRNA from 2 species